ACGAACGCUGGCGGCGUGCUUCACACAUGCAAGUCGAACGGGCCUUGUCCCCUUUUUUUUUGGGGGUGGGGUUAGUGGCGAACGGGUGAGUAACACGUGAGUAACCUGCCCCUCACUUCUGGAUAACCGCUUGAAAGGGUGGCUAAUACGGGGUGUUCUGGCCUGCUCGCAUGGGUGGGUUUGGAAAGAUUCGACCGGUUUUGGUUGUUUUGGUGGGGGAUGGGCUCGCGGCCUAUCAGCUUGUUGGUGGGGUGAUGGCCUGCCAAGGCUUUGACGGGUAGCCGGCCUGAGAGGGUGGGCGGUCACACUGGGACUGAGACACGGCCCAGACUCCUACGGGAGGCAGCAGUGGGGAAUAUUGCACAAUGGGCGCAAGCCUGAUGCAGCGACGCCGCGUGAGGGAUGGAGGCCGUCGGGUUGUGAACCUCUUUCGCCAGUGAAGAAGGUCCUGCUCUUUGUGGUGGGGUUGACGGUAGCUGGGUUAAUGAAGCGCCGGCUAACUACGUG
rnacentral:rRNA from 1 species